GUGAUGCCAUUGCUCUUCAUUCUGAAUCUGCCAACUUCUUACACUGAAAAGGUAGCUGCUCUGAAGUGGAAGCUAAUGAAGUUGACGAUAUUGCCCACUCAUCGGAGCGAACAACUGAAAGAGCUGCAACACCUACUGGAUCAGAGCCCCAGUUUUGACAUGUGUCACGUCUUCACGCUUGGACGUUCCA
rnacentral:lncRNA from 1 species